rnacentral:rRNA from 1 species
GACGAACGCUGGCGGCGUGCUUAACACAUGCAAGUCGAACGAAGUGGCGAACGGGUGAGUAACGCGUAAUCAACCUGCCCUUCAGAGGGGGACAACAGUUGGAAACGACUGCUAAUACCGCAUACUGAAGGAGGUGAUUGCGUCGGAUUAGCUAGUUGGGGGGGUAACUGCCCACCAAGCCGAUGAUCAGUAGGCGGUCUGGGAGGGUGAACGGCCAAAAUGGGAAUGAGAAACGGCCCAGAAUCCUACGGGAGGCAGCAGUGGGGAAUUUUCCGCAAUGGACGAAAGUCUGACGGAGCAACGCCGCGUGAGUGAUGACGGCCUUCGGGUUGUAAAGCUAUGUUAAUCGGGACGCGGUACCGGAAUAGAAAGCCACGGCUAACUACGUGCCAGCAGCCGCGGUAAUUC